rnacentral:rRNA from 1 species
CGGUGAAAUUGAAGUACCAGUGAAGAUGCUGGUUACCCGCGCCAGGACGGAAAGACCCCAUGGAGCUUUACUCCAGUUUGGUACUGGGGUCCGGCAGUGCAUGUACAGGAUAGGUGGGAGGCUGUGAACCUGGAACGCCAGUUUCAGGGGAGCCAUUGUUGGGAUACCACCCUUGUGCUGCUGGGCUUCUAACCAGCGGCCUUUAUCAGGCCGGGGGACAAUGCCAGACGGGGAGUUUGACUGGGGCGGUCGCCUCCGAAAGGGUAUCGGAGGCGCUCAAAGGUUCCCUCAGAAUGGUCGGAAACCAUUCGAAGAGUGCAAAGGCAGAAGGGAGCUUGACUGCGACACCGACGGGUGGAGCAGGUACGAAAGUAGGACUUAGUGAUCCGGUGGUAUUAAGUGGGAAUGCCAUCGCUCAACGGAUAAAAGCUACCCUGGGGAUAACAGGCUUAUCACUCCCAAGAGUUCACAUCGACGGAGUGGUUUGGCACCUCGAUGUCGGCUCAUCGCAUCCUGGGGCUGUAGUAGGUCCCAAGGGUUGGGCUGUUCGCCCAUUAAAGCGGUACGCGAGCUGGGUUCAGAACGUCGUGAGACAGUUCGGUCCCUAUCCGGCGUGGGCGUAGGAUAUUUGAGAGGAGCUGUCCUUAGUACGAGAGGACCGGGAUGGACUGACCUCUGGUGUACCGGUUGAACCGCCAGGUUCACGGCCGGGUAGCCAAGUCGGGAAGGGAUAAACGCUGAAGGCAUCUAAGCGUGAAGCCCCCCUCAAGAUGAGAUAUCCCAUUCGAAAGAAGUAAGACCCCUUGAAGACGACGAGGUAGAUAGGGCAGGGGUGGAAGUGCCGUAAGGCAUGGAGCUGACUGUUACUAAUCGGUCGAGGGCUUGACCUAAUU